rnacentral:rRNA from 1 species
AUUGAACGCUGGCGGCAGGCCUAACACAUGCAAGUCGAACGAGUGGCGGACGGGUGAGUAAUGUCUGGGAAUCUGCCUUAUGGAGGGGGAUAACUACGGGAAACUGUAGCUAAUACCGCAUACCAUCGGAUGAGCCCAGAUGGGAUUAGGUAGUUGGUGGGGUAAAGGCUCACCAAGGCGACGAUCUCUAGCUGGUCUGAGAGGAUGACCAGCAACACUGGAACUGAGACACGGUCCAGACUCCUACGGGAGGCAGCAGUGGGGAAUAUUGCACAAUGGGGGCAAGCCUGAGGCAGCCAUGCCGCGUGAGUGAAGAAGGCCUUCGGUUUGUAAAGUACUUUCAGCGGGGAGGCGUUAACAACAGAAGAAGCACCGGCUAACUCCGUGCCAGCAGCCGCGGUAAUAC